ACUGCCAGUGACAAACUGGAGGAAGGCGGGGACGACGUCAAGUCAUCAUGGCCCUUACGACCAGGGCUACACACGUGCUACAAUGGUCGGUACAAAGGGUUGCUACCUAGCGAUAGGGUGCUAAUCUCAAAAAGCCGAUCGUAGUCCGGAUUGGAGUCUGCAACUCGACUCCAUGAAGUCGGAAUCGCUAGUAAUCGCGGAUCAGAAUGCCGCGGUGAAUACGUUCCCGGGCCUUGUACACACCGCCCGUCACACCAUGGGAGUUUGUUGCACCAGAAGUGGAUAGUCUAACUGCAAAGAGGACGUUCACCACGGUGUGGCCGAUGACUGGGGUGAAGUCGUA
rnacentral:rRNA from 1 species